rnacentral:piRNA from 2 species
UAAUGCUUCCUAGCAAAUAGGAUGGUGUUC